GACGUAGGGUCCAAGCGUUGUCCGGAUUUACUGGGCGUAAAGAGCGCGUAGGCGGCCUGUUAAGUGUGAAGUGAAAUCUCCAGAGCUCAACUCGGAAACUGCUUCGCAUACUGGCAGGCUUGAGGAAUGCAGAGGUAAGUAGAAUUCCUGGUGUAGCGGUGACAUGCAUUGAUAUCAGGAGGAAUACCCAUGGCGAAGGCAGCUUACUGGCAUUAUCUGACGCUGAGGCGCGAAAGCGUGGGAGCAAACAGG
rnacentral:rRNA from 1 species